rnacentral:rRNA from 1 species
AAGUCUUCCCUUGCACCUUGAGUGCACUAAAGGGUCGUUGAAGACCACAACGUUGAUAGGCUGGGUGUGGAAGCGCAGUAAUGCGUUAAGCUAACCAGUACUAAUUGCCCGUGAGGCUUGACCCU